CCCUGCAGUGAUCUUCAUUUGUGGCAGGUCCAGUACGGUUUAGCAUGAGGAGCAUUGAGGCCCCUGCUAUUUCUGACACUGUCAAUAUCAAUGACUCCAGCGCUCUCUGUGCAUGUGCAAUCCUUUACUUUGUUCUAGGGUGAAUUAAGCUGUCCCAAAGGAUAAUUGCAAGGGUAUGGUGGUGAUUGCAGAAUCAGUGUUUUUCUUUUUUUUUCCCCAGGCAUGGAGAUCAUGUGCAUCUGCAAGUACGGCUCACGGAUUAUGAAUGCAUGAGUUCCCAUGGUGCCAGAAGAAAAAAUUAUUCCAGUUUCUCCAAAGGAUGAGAGGAACAUCAACAGCAGCUGUCUGGGAUAGAGAGGGAGAAUCAAUGCAGAGACUGAAGCUGAGAUGCAGUAUGUACCUGCGCCCUCUGCUGGAGCAUGAUCUGCACAUGUGUGCUCAUGAUGAAAAUCUCGCUCAAUGUCUGAUAAGCUGGCAUGUUUGAUUUCCGUCACUGUAGACUGUGAGCUAUGAGCUCAAAUAUGUCAUAAAUCAUUUGAGCCGUUAUGCUGAAACUGCUCUGGAAUGUCACAUGUUUGCUUUGGCUGUGAAUAAGGAAAAGCCUAAAUAAACGAGCUCUUCCUUUUCUUGGGAACUGCCUCAUGAAACAGACUGAUUAAUUCAUUCAAGUAGGCUAAUAAAGUAUUACACUUUGUAAUGGCGGCUGUAUGAAAUUAUAGCAAGACUUAAUAUUUAAUAACCAGGUUAAUUAUUGGUUCCAUUAAAAAGUAAGGUAUAUAGAAAUAUUGUAAUGAUAAAUAUUUAAAUUAGAUAGGCCCAGAAAGAGCAAAUUAACUGUUAAGACUAUUCUUCCGUCCAGAUGUUUUAGUGUAUUAUUAUUAUUAUUUAUUUAUUUAUGUUUUUUUCUGUGUAAGAAAUUCAACGAUGUUAUCUUAUUUGAUAUAUAAUGGGUAAAUUUUAAUUUAAUUUAAUUGUUUUAUUUAUUUUUUUUACUGUUGAGGCAUUGUCUUUUUUUUACGAUUGUGUUUUACGUGUAAAUGAAUGCGUGUGUAGAGUGCUUCAUGUGUUUGACAGUCCUGAGGAUCAGAGUCUCAUUGAGGUAAUGACUGUUAUUUAGCGCCAGAGGACGCUGUUUACUCAGGUUUGUUCUAUUCA